GGGUUGUGAGGUUAAGCGACUAAGCGUACACGGUGGAUGCCCUGGCAGUCAGAGGCGAUGAAGGACGUGCUAAUCUGCGAUAAGCGUCGGUGAGGUGAUAUGAACCGUUAUAACCGGCGAUUUCCGAAUGGGGAAACCCAGUGUGUUUCGACACACUAUCAUUAACUGAAUCCAUAGGUUAAUGAGGCGAACCGGGGGAACUGAAACAUCUAAGUACCCCGAGGAAAAGAAAUCAACCGAGAUUCCCCCAGUAGCGGCGAGCGAACGGGGAGGAGCCCAGAGCCUGAAUCAGUGUGUGUGUUAGUGGAAGCGUCUGGAAAGGCGCGCGAUACAGGGUGACAGCCCCGUACACAAAAAUGCACAUAUUGUGAGCUCGAUGAGUAGGGCGGGACACGUGGUAUCCUGUCUGAAUAUGGGGGGACCAUCCUCCAAGGCUAAAUACUCCUGACUGACCGAUAGUGAACCAGUACCGUGAGGGAAAGGCGAAAAGAACCCCGGCGAGGGGAGUGAAAAAGAACCUGAAACCGUGUACGUACAAGCAGUGGGAGCCUCUUUAUGGGGUGACUGCGUACCUUUUGUAUAAUGGGUCAGCGACUUAUAUUCUGUAGCAAGGUUAACCGAAUAGGGGAGUCGAAGGGAAACCGAGUCUUAACUGGGCGUUAAGUUGCAGGGUAUAGACCCGAAACCCGGUGAUCUAGCCAUGGGCAGGUUGAAGGUUGGGUAACACUAACUGGAGGACCGAACCGACUAAUGUUGAAAAAUUAGCGGAUGACUUGUGGCUGGGGGUGAAAGGCCAAUCAAACCGGGAGAUAGCUGGUUCUCCCCGAAAGCUAUUUAGGUAGCGCCUCGUGAAUUCAUCUCCGGGGGUAGAGCACUGUUUCGGCAAGGGGGUCAUCCCGACUUACCAACCCGAUGCAAACUGCGAAUACCGGAGAAUGUUAUCACGGGAGACACACGGCGGGUGCUAACGUCCGUCGUGAAGAGGGAAACAACCCAGACCGCCAGCUAAGGUCCCAAAGUCAUGGUUAAGUGGGAAACGAUGUGGGAAGGCCCAGACAGCCAGGAUGUUGGCUUAGAAGCAGCCAUCAUUUAAAGAAAGCGUAAUAGCUCACUGGUCGAGUCGGCCUGCGCGGAAGAUGUAACGGGGCUAAACCAUGCACCGAAGCUGCGGCAGCGACACUAUGUGUUGUUGGGUAGGGGAGCGUUCUGUAAGCCUGUGAAGGUGGCCUGUGAGGGUUGCUGGAGGUAUCAGAAGUGCGAAUGCUGACAUAAGUAACGAUAAAGCGGGUGAAAAGCCCGCUCGCCGGAAGACCAAGGGUUCCUGUCCAACGUUAAUCGGGGCAGGGUGAGUCGACCCCUAAGGCGAGGCCGAAAGGCGUAGUCGAUGGGAAACAGGUUAAUAUUCCUGUACUUGGUGUUACUGCGAAGGGGGGACGGAGAAGGCUAUGUUGGCCGGGCGACGGUUGUCCCGGUUUAAGCGUGUAGGCUGGUUUUCCAGGCAAAUCCGGAAAACCAAGGCUGAGGCGUGAUGACGAGGCACUACGGUGCUGAAGCGACAAAUGCCCUGCUUCCAGGAAAAGCCUCUAAGCAUCAGGUAACAUCAAAUCGUACCCCAAACCGACACAGGUGGUCAGGUAGAGAAUACCAAGGCGCUUGAGAGAACUCGGGUGAAGGAACUAGGCAAAAUGGUGCCGUAACUUCGGGAGAAGGCACGCUGAUAUGUAGGUGAAGCGACUUGCUCGUGGAGCUGAAAUCAGUCGAAGAUACCAGCUGGCUGCAACUGUUUAUUAAAAACACAGCACUGUGCAAACACGAAAGUGGACGUAUACGGUGUGACGCCUGCCCGGUGCCGGAAGGUUAAUUGAUGGGGUUAGCGGUAACGCGAAGCUCUUGAUCGAAGCCCCGGUAAACGGCGGCCGUAACUAUAACGGUCCUAAGGUAGCGAAAUUCCUUGUCGGGUAAGUUCCGACCUGCACGAAUGGCGUAAUGAUGGCCAGGCUGUCUCCACCCGAGACUCAGUGAAAUUGAACUCGCUGUGAAGAUGCAGUGUACCCGCGGCAAGACGGAAAGACCCCGUGAACCUUUACUAUAGCUUGACACUGAACAUUGAGCCUUGAUGUGUAGGAUAGGUGGGAGGCUUUGAAGUGUGGACGCCAGUCUGCAUGGAGCCGACCUUGAAAUACCACCCUUUAAUGUUUGAUGUUCUAACGUUGGCCCGUAAUCCGGGUUGCGGACAGUGUCUGGUGGGUAGUUUGACUGGGGCGGUCUCCUCCUAAAGAGUAACGGAGGAGCACGAAGGUUGGCUAAUCCUGGUCGGACAUCAGGAGGUUAGUGCAAUGGCAUAAGCCAGCUUGACUGCGAGCGUGACGGCGCGAGCAGGUGCGAAAGCAGGUCAUAGUGAUCCGGUGGUUCUGAAUGGAAGGGCCAUCGCUCAACGGAUAAAAGGUACUCCGGGGAUAACAGGCUGAUACCGCCCAAGAGUUCAUAUCGACGGCGGUGUUUGGCACCUCGAUGUCGGCUCAUCACAUCCUGGGGCUGAAGUAGGUCCCAAGGGUAUGGCUGUUCGCCAUUUAAAGUGGUACGCGAGCUGGGUUUAGAACGUCGUGAGACAGUUCGGUCCCUAUCUGCCGUGGGCGCUGGAGAACUGAGGGGGGCUGCUCCUAGUACGAGAGGACCGGAGUGGACGCAUCACUGGUGUUCGGGUUGUCAUGCCAAUGGCACUGCCCGGUAGCUAAAUGCGGAAGAGAUAAGUGCUGAAAGCAUCUAAGCACGAAACUUGCCCCGAGAUGAGUUCUCCCUGAGACUUAGAGUCUCCUGAAGGAACGUUGAAGACGACGACGUUGAUAGGCCGGGUGUGUAAGCGCAGCGAUGCGUUGAGCUAACCGGUACUAAUGAACCGUGAGG
rnacentral:rRNA from 1 species